rnacentral:rRNA from 1 species
UACGUAGGUGGCAAGCGUUGUCCGGAUUUACUGGGCGUAAAGAGCGCGCAGGCGGUCGUCCAAGUCGCGUGUGAAAGCCCCCGGCUCAACUGGGGAGGGUCACGCGAUACUGGUCGACUCGAAGGCAGGAGAGGGUAGUGGAAUUCCCGGUGUAGUGGUGAAAUGCGUAGAGAUCGGCAGGAACACCCAGGGGGAAACCAGCGGACUGGGCAUCAGCUGACGCUCAGGUGCGACAGCGUGGGGAGCGAACCGG